rfam:Candidatus Portnoybacteria bacterium RIFCSPHIGHO2_12_FTLL_40_11 rifcsphigho2_12_scaffold_7204, whole genome shotgun sequence.
CGCGGGGUGGAGCAAUUGGAAGCUCGCUGGGCCCAUAACCCAGAGGUUGCCGGUUCGAGUCCGGCCCCCGCAA